UGUAUUUAUUUUCUUUAGUGAGUGAUCUUUCACAGCCUCCACAAGAUUUUAAUGGAGAGGUGGAUUUAGAUAUGUUUUGGAAGGCACUGACAGAAGAACUAAUUGCUUGAGGAUUUUUUUCAAGUCAAAAAAACAAUCCAUUUUGUGUUACACCUAGUUACAACUUUUGGGCACCCUGGAUCGGGAGUAAGACUCGCAUAGCGAAUGUUGUUCUCAACACUGAAUUUGAGAAAGUGCACAAAGCAAAAACUGCAGAACGAACAGAAAUAACUUUCUCUGAAGAUCGCUUAAAGGACGAACUUUCAAAACAGAAAGUGGGAGUGAUAAGAAGACUGUGUCAAGAGUGUGGUUUAGAUGCCAAAGGCUCUCGCACAGAUCUACUCCUGCGACUUUCGGAGGAGAUGAGGUCAAGGGAGGCCUAUGACAAGGUUUUUGAAAAGAUUUGGGCUGCUUCAGGAGGUUGGGCUAUCAUAAUGUGUCCUUGUGGCAUAGUUUACAGUAUAAAAUGUAAUCUGCGAGCAGAAAGUCCACAGGAUUUUGCAGAUAUGCUUCUGUCUUGGAAGCAUCUGCCUAAUGUUGUUAUUUAUGACUUUGCCCGUGGACUGUCCACCCACACAAAUUUGAGGCAACCCAUAACUUUCACACCUUUCGAGGGAAGGUUACUCGAACCAACCACUGAAAAUAUUGCAAAAGCAAAAUCAGGAAAAUUACAGGUAACUCUGCCAUGGCUCACUGCAAAAAAGCAAAGUCCAGAUCCGGAUGGUCAUCCAAUAACUGGUUCUGCAGAACAUUAUGUUCUGUAUGACCGCUUUCACGAAGACAACACAAAAGAUCCUCCUGAUUCACUGAGGAAGCUUCGUCUUGUGCCUCAACUAGCUGGCAAAGUUAACAGUCAGGCUGCAGAACAGCUUUUUUCAAAGCUAAAGAAAAAUAACUACUUUAUAAACAUGGCAUUGCCAUCCACACAUGUUUUCCUCAUGCAAAACAUCAUCCACCAUUACAAUGUCAGAAAAAACGAGAAACGUCUUCAUGACAUAAAAAAGGAAUUCAACACAAACAUUCACAUGAAUGACCACAGCCAGGUUGUGUUAGAAAAUCCAUCCUCCACA